GCCGACGCCGCGUUCGCCACGUUCCCCGCAGGCGGCGGGGCGGGCCCUUCCUGCGGUCGCUCCACGCGCGUCCGGUGCGCGGGAGGCGGCUGCGGGCGGAAGCGUCGGAGCGCGGCGGCGGCGCGGCGGGUGCUGGUGUCCCGAGCCGCGCGGCCCCUUGGUCCUCACACUGCCCCGCAGGGUCUGCUUCCCGGCCCGUCGUGGAGACCGAGCAGCGGAGGUGGCCCCGGGCGCCAGCACGGACGGCGCGGAGAACCAGGGGCGUAGGGCGCCUCCCUCCACCUGUCCUCGCGCGUGCAGCCCGGCGGGGGCGGGACGGGGGAUGCUUCCCCCCACCUGUCCUCGCAGGCUGGGCGUGCAGCGAGGCCCCGGCAUCCUCCUGCUGAAUCAACACAGUCUGAGCCACCGGGGACAUCAGCCUCCAACAAAGGAAGAACUCUUACAAGGCCACAGUCGUCAUGUCUGAACACACACGAACGUGAGCGUAGCGCAAGCCAGAGAAAUGACCAGACCUCGCUCCGCCCUGCCCAAUACAAGUGACUGCUGCUUCUGGACCUGUUACAGAGUGAGCUUUGUCUGGGCCCCCUCCUGCCUUUUAGAGAAGAUUGAGUGAGGCAUUCCCGCUGGGCAUUACCCCCUGUCCUGACACCCAAUCCACAUCCAAGCUCCCCUUCCUUACCUGCCCCCCAAAACUACUUGCCACAAACCCCUGUCUCCUAAGUGCUUUCCAACAUCCCCCUACCUAGGUGUCUGGGGGCAAUGGUCUCCCUCGCUGCCGUGAGUAAGAAACCCAGCUUGUUUCCACUGCAGACCUGUUUCUGGUGGGGUCUGGCUUUGGGACUGUGUAGGGCCCAGCAAGCCCCGCGCCUCUCUCCCCCUCUGUGACCCCUCACUCACGGUGUUUGAGACCUCGGUGCUCUCUCUGCCUCCUCCUCCCUCACAGCAGAAAUACUCUGACAGUGCUCACAGGCUCUCCUGUCCUAGCCUUUGGUGCACAGAGCAGCCCACCCCAACCCAGCGUGACCUGACGACUUCUCCAGAGGAGCUCUCCCUAAGGCCUCCAG
rnacentral:lncRNA from 1 species